GGGGAAUAUUGGACAAUGGGGGCAACCCUGAUCCAGCCAUGCCGCGUGAGUGAUGAAGGCCUUCGGGUUGUAAAGCUCUUUUGGCGGGGACGAUGAUGACGGUACCCGCAGAAUAAGCCCCGGCUAACUUCGUGCCAGCAGCCGCGGUAAGACGAAGGGGGCAAGCGUUGUUCGGAAUUACUGGGCGUAAAGGGCGCGUAGGCGGUUUGCUUAGUCAGGCGUGAAAGCCCUGGGAUUAACCUGGGAUGUGCGCUUGAUACUGGCAGGCUUGAGUGUGGGAGAGGUUGGUGGAAUUCCCAGAGUAGAGGUGAAAUUCGUAGAUAUUGGGAAGAACACCGGUGGCGAAGGCGGCCAACUGGACCACAACUGACGCUGAGGCGCGAAAGCGUGGGGAGCAAACA
rnacentral:rRNA from 1 species